rnacentral:ncRNA from 1 species
GAUAACUGGCUUGUGGCAGCCAAGCAUUCAUAGUGACGUCACUUUCUGAUCCUUUGAUGUCGGCUCUUCCUAUCAUUGUGAAGCAGAAUUCACCAAGCGUUGGAUUGUUUACCCACUAAUAGGGAACGUGAACUGGGUUUAGACUGUCGUGGGACAGAUA